CACAUGCAAGUCGAACGGUAGCAGGAAGUGCUUGCACUUUGCUGACGAGUGGCGGACGGGUGAGUAAUGCUUGGGAACUUGCCUUUAGGUGGGGGAUAACAGUUGGAAACGACUGCUAAUACCGCAUAAUGUCUACGGACCAAAGGGGGCUUCGGCUCUCGCCUUGAGAGAGGCCCAAGUGAGAUUAGCUAGUUGGUGGGGUAAAGGCCUACCAAGGCAACGAUCUCUAGCUGUUCUGAGAGGAAGAUCAGCCACACUGGGACUGAGACACGGCCCAGACUCCUACGGGAGGCAGCAGUGGGGAAUAUUGCACAAUGGGGGAAACCCUGAUGCAGCCAUGCCGCGUGUGUGAAGAAGGCCUUCGGGUUGUAAAGCACUUUCAGUUGUGAGGAAAGGUUGGUAGUUAAUACCUGCCAGCUGUGACGUUAACAACAGAAGAAGCACCGGCUAACUCCGUGCCAGCAGCCGCGGUAAUACGGAGGGUGCGAGCGUUAAUCGGAAUUACUGGGCGUAAAGCGCACGCAGGCGGCUUGUUAAGCUAGAGGUGAAAGCCCCGCGCUCAACGUGGGAACUGCCUUUAGAACUGGCAGGCUAGAGUCUUGGAGAGGGGAGUGGAAUUCCAGGUGUAGCGGUGAAAUGCGUAGAUAUCUGGAGGAACAUCAGUGGCGAAGGCGGCUCCCUGGCCAAAGACUGACGCUCAUGUGCGAAAGUGUGGGUAGCGAACAGGAUUAGAUACCCUGGUAGUCCACACCGUAAACGCUGUCUACUAGCUGUUUGUGUAUUUAAUACGUGAGUAGCGAAGCUAACGCGCUAAGUAGACCGCCUGGGGAGUACGGCCGCAAGGUUAAAACUCAAAUGAAUUGACGGGGGCCCGCACAAGCGGUGGAGCAUGUGGUUUAAUUCGAUGCAACGCGAAGAACCUUACCUACUCUUGACAUCCAGGAAAUUUUCAGAGAUGAAUUAGUGCCUUCGGGAAUCCUGAGACAGGUGCUGCAUGCUGUCGUCAGCUCGUGUCGUGAGAUGUGGGUAAGUCCCGCACGAGCGCAACCCUUGUCUAGUGCCAGCAUUAAGUGGCACUCUAGAGACUGCGUGACAAACCGGAGAAGUGGGACGACGUCAGUCAUCAUGCCCUUACAAGAAGGGCUACACACCGGGCUACA
rnacentral:rRNA from 1 species